AUGCCCUACCGCCUAUCCAUAUACGCUGAUGAUGUCGUGGCCUUUCUCAACCCAUCCAAAACCGAGCUCCAUGCUGCUAUCGAGCUGCUCUCCUGCUUCCAACGGGUCUCUGGCCUUCGAGUAAAUUGGUCCAAGAGCGCCGCCACGCCCAUCAUAUGCAGUGAUGGAGAGGCCGAGUGUGCGGUCGAGGAAUCUGACUGUGACAUUAGGAAUUUCCCGGUGACCUACCUUUGCUUGCCUCUGACUGAUGGGUGCCUGCGACGGGAGGACCUGCAGCCGGCCCUUGACAGUCUGUCCAAGAGAUUGAGAGGGUGGAAAGCCAAGCUAAUUGCACUACCGGGAAGAAUUGAACUGGUUAGAACCACCCUCUCCGCAAUGGCAAUUUAUCGGAUAAUGGCGAUUGCGCCGCCAAAGUGGUUCAUCAAGAUGGUGGAUAGGCUGCGUAGGGGCUUCCUUUGGGCGGCGGACGAGGUUUCCCCGGCUGGUAAAUGCUUAGUAAGAUGGAGCAAUGUCUGUCGGCCUCGAGAGCUCGGAGGACUGGGCAUCCAUGACCUGCAGAGACAGGGAAGCGCCUUGCUGGCCCGUUGGUAUUGGCUCACAUGGACUGAUAGAGACCGGCCUUGGGGUAAUCUG
rnacentral:rRNA from 1 species